UAGAGAUCUGCCUUAAUUUGCUUCCCGAG
rnacentral:piRNA from 1 species